rnacentral:sRNA from 1 species
AUCCGGAGUUACUGGGCGUAAAGGGCGUGUAGGCGGUUUGUUAAGUCUGGCGUGAAAGCUCUCGGCUAAACCGGGAGAGGUCGUUGGAUACUGGCGAACUCGAGGAUGGUAGAGGCGUGUGGAAUUCCGGGUGUAGUGGUGAAAUGCGUAGAGAUCCGGAGGAACACCAGUGGCGAAGGCGACACGCUGGGCCAUACCUGACGCUAAAGCGCGACAGCAUGGGGAGCAAACGGGAUUAGAAACCCCGGUAGUCCAUGCCGUAAACGAUGCCAGCUAGAUGUUCAGUUCUCGCAAGAGAACGGGGUAUCGAAGCAAACGCGAUAAGCUGGCCGCCUGGGGAGUACGGUCGCAAGGCUAAAACUCAAAGGAAUUGACGGGGGCCCGCACAAGCAGCGGAGCGUGUGGUUUAAUUCGAGGCUACACGAAGAACCUUACCUGGGUUUGACAUAGCGGUGGUAGUGAACUGAAAAGGGAACGACCUUCGGGAGCCGUUACAGGUGCUGCAUGGCUKUYGUCAGCUCGUGCCGUGAGGUGUUCGGUUAAGUCCGCAAACGAGCGCAACCCCUGGUGCUAGUUACACGUKUCUAGCGCAACUGCCCGUGARAAACGGGAGGAAGGUGGGGAUGACGUCAGGUCAGCAUGSCCUUUAUAUCCAGGGCUACACACACGCUACAAUGGGCGGUACAAUGGGUCGCAAAGNCCGCGAGGUGGAGCCAAUCCUAAAAAGCCGUUCGUAGUUCGGAUUGCAGGCUGCAACUCGCCUGCAUGAAGUCGGAGUUGCUAGUAACCGCAGGUCAGCUAUACUGCGGUGAAUACGUUCCCGGGCCUUGUACACACCGCCCGUCACGUCAUGGGAGCUGGUCACGCCUGAAGUCGGGAAGCUAACCGCAAGGGGGCUACCGCCNGRGCGGCMGGGCCGGUGACUGGGACGAAGUCGUAACAAGGUAGCUGUACCGGAAGGUGCGGCUGGAUCACCUCCUUUCUAGAGCAUCGAUUGGGAGAUGUUGCAAGACAUGAACCCACAAAAACAAAACAACAAACGUUUCCAUCUCACUUCCCUGUCGUUAAGCCGAGCGCAAGUCCACCUUUGACAAGGUGGGCAAAAGCAGAUAAAAUAUUGUGUAUAGUUAGUGUAAACAAACGAGCUGACGAUCACUUGAACCAACUGACGGUGCUGCCCAACUGAAUAGGUAAUAAGGUACAGACCACGACGCUGCGAAAUUGCAACAGCCCGGACGAUGUGCCGGGCUGUUUUUGUCUCAGGUGGGCGUGGUAGGAAACAUAGGAAUUGAGAUCGGCGGGUGAACACAAGGGAACUUGUGGACAGCCGCCGGAGGCAACUCCGGGACGCAACUUAACAAUCGAAUACAAGAAGAAGUAGUAACGCGAGAGUAUCAAUUUCUCCGUAUCACAUGUUGCAAAAGUGAAUAAGAGCAUACGGGGGAUGCCUGGGCGUCAGGUGCCGAAGAAGGACGUGGUACACUGCGAAAAGUUCUGGUGAGCCGUGU